rnacentral:rRNA from 1 species
UACGCAGGGGGCUAGCGUUGCUCGGAAUCACUGGGCGUAAAGCGCACGUAGGCGGAUUGUUAAGUCAGGGGUGAAAUCCUGGAGCUCAACUCCAGAACUGCCUUUGAUACUGGCGAUCUCGAGUCCGGGAGAGGUGAGUGGAACUGCGAGUGUAGAGGUGAAAUUCGUAGAUAUUCGCAAGAACACCAGUGGCGAAGGCGGCUCACUGGCCCGGUACUGACGCUGAGGUGCGAAAGCGUGGGGAGCAAACAGG